AGUGAUAAUCAUUUGAAACAAGAUUCUUCUAGUGGUUAUUCAAGAAACUACAAUCAAGGGUUUAAACACAAAGGAGAAAGUAAAGGUACUUAUGGGUCAGUUAAUGUCAAUCAACCAUCAUAGUUUCGAUAAUCAAAGUGGUUCUGAAAGUCAAAACUAUUUUGGUGCGUUGCCUCGGUGUUUUAACAUGCAAUCCUGUUGUGGUGCUCCUCCAUUCCACAAUAAACAACCCUCUUCAACAACGUAUAUUGAGAACAACAAUCGAGGUCAUCUUCACACUUCUCUUGAUCAAGCUUGGUAUCUGAACUUAGGAGCAACAAAUCACGUGACAAAUGAUACGUCUAUGCUCACAAAUGUUGUGCCAUAUACAGGACAUUCAGACAUGGAUCACGUUAGUAGUGGGCCACAUGCAUAAUGGGUUUUACAAGUUUGAUGCUUACAACUAUUGGUGAACAUUCAGGUGUUUCUGGAACUACUUUUGGUUUGAGUUUUUCCACAUGUGUAUCUAAUGUUGAGGUCCAAAAUGUUGAACUAUGGUAUAAGAGGCUUGGUUAUCCUUGUCCUAGAGUUCUUACUCAAGUAUUAUGCAGUUGUAAUAUUCAUUUCAGUAAAGAAAAAUUGUCACAAGUAUGUAUUGCAUGUCAUCUAGGUAAAGCCUACAAGCUGGCUUUUUCUUCACCUAGUACAAUAUAUGCUUUUCAUUUUGAACUGGUUUUCUUGGAUUUGUGGGGACCAAACGAAAUUGUAUGGGUUUCUUUAUUA